UGCUGUUCCAACAACUUGUCUACAAGCUUGCUUUUGGAACACCAUUGACACAACUUGUUAACAAGCUUGCUACAAGCCCGUUGAGAACAUAUCUUGUAGACAAAGUUAUUGGAACAGCAUUAUCACGACAAGUUUGUCUUCUAAAAUUGCCUCAGCCAGCAAUUUAUUUUGCGCCGCCAUCUUGGAUGUUUACUUUCGUAUACUACGCAUGCGCUGUUACGACAAUCCG